CUGGACAUGUAGAGCCUUUUACUGAGACUGUAGCUCUUCAGGCUUCUUACUUUAUUUGAGGUCUCAGUUCCAAUUUUCCAGCUUAUUCAGGCUGAAUAUCUAGUCUUCUGUUCCCUGCAGGGCCAUUAAAACUCCAGCUUGUUUCAGCGAUUGGCAAAUGGUCUCAGGACAGCUACAGCUUCAGCACAAACUCCCUCUUCAGUUUGGCAUCUGGUGACUUCCCUGACGUUCAGUGGCUAAUCUCAUCUUCCCUCUGGAGUGCGAGUACCAGUCCCCAAAGUGGAAACCUGUUUGGUCGCCGCAGGUUGGGAGGAAUCCAGUAGCUGUCUCACUUCUUCAUGAGAGGUCCGGAGGAUGCUGGAUACAAUUGACAUACUUCCAAAAAGAUCAGUGGGCUUACCAGUGGGAGCGUGUUUUGAAACUGGGCCACAUGCGGAAGAAGCUCUGUGCCCCUUGGCUGUGCAGAUGAUGGUGGCCGACGAGCACCUCCUGGGUGUCUGGCGCAACUCUGGACUCUGAACUUGCAAAAGGCCAGCUAUGAAGAUGAAUAAAGAGAACCUGGACAACUACCCAGGCAUGAGCCCAGCACACUGGCUUCAGUCAUCACUCUGCAGAUGGAGUAGAAAAGUGACCUUCAGCUCACCUCUGUACUCACAUCAAAUGACAACCGGGUCAAAUACGGACCUUCCACUGCUUUGUGUGGCAGGGAGGGCUUCGAUAAAUAACUUACCUUAGGGGAAAAAGGCAUAAAACCCAUGCCUGAGGCCACAAAGCUCCCCCUGUAAGUUAGCUCCUAGACGCAGGUGUUUUGAGCUGAUGCAGAAUUCAGUGCUGUAGAGAUGAUGAAGCCAAGAGAGGUGGGUGGAGGGAGAGUAGAUGACAGCCCAGCUGAGGAAGAAGGGGGAACCCUGAGGCCUCCAGGACUCAGAAGUCUGCUGUGAUACACCUUGGCCUUGGGCUGGCCCAUCUCAGUGAACUCCGGGACAGAACUGGCAGUCGUAAGGCUGAGCACAAGUGGACCCACGACCUCCGUGUUGAUAACUGAUUUUAAAGCUAUUAAUUUAAUCUUACAAUCAAAACGAAUGAAAAACACCAACACAAUGAAA